rnacentral:lncRNA from 1 species
CCAAGAUCGCUGCCAGUAAAUAGAUGUGGUGGACACACGCUAGGGUGACCCCACCCCAAUACCAACCAGUGAUGCUUCUGAGGAAUCCUCUCCCCCGAGCGUGGGCAGGACCUAUGCUUGUUUUUUGCCAGUGGAAUAUGGCAAAGGUGAUGAGAUGUCACUCCCAUGAUCACAUAUGGCAAAGGUGAAGGGAUUCUGCAGAUGUAACUAAGAUCCUUAAUCAGUUUGACUUUGAGUUAAUCAAAAGGGAGAUUAUCCUGGGUGGGUCUGACCUCAUCAAGUGAGUUCUUUAUAAGAGCAGAGAUGUUUCCCCAGGAUCAGAGACUUCAAGCAGCAGAGAUUCCCUCUUUCCUGCUGGUCUUGAAGAAACAAGUUCUACAGUCACAAGGAGAUGAAUUCCACCAAGAACCAUGCGAGCUUAGGAAAGGAUCCCAAGUCUAGACGGGACUGCAGACCUGGACAGCACUUUCACUGCUGCCUUGUGAGACCCUGAGCCAAGGACCCGGCUAAGCCAUGCCCAGACUCCUGGCCCCUGAAAGCUGUGAGAUAACAUACGGGUGGUGUUAAGCCGCCAAGUCUGUGGUAAUUUGUUACACAGAAUGGACAACUAUCACAGAAGAGGAGCAGAGAUUCCCACCCAGUGUGACUCCAGGAACUGUGUGACAAGUGCUGGUUACCAGGUUCUUUUGGACACCAAAGGAGAGAGGUAUUUUACCACACCAACCAGUUUCCAAUCCCCCAACACUAAGUAGGUGUCCUGCAAUUCAAUUCAAUCUGACACUACCCAGAGUUAGUGUCACACUCCCCAGGUGUGAGGGCUCAGUCCCACCGACUGCCUUCACUUCAGAUGCCAGUUGCAAGGAUCAUGUCACCCGUACCUCUGACAGACUGGCUGUGAAUCAGGGGUUCCCAUGACCCCCUGAUAAUUUGUUAAUUUGCUAGACUUGCUCACAGAACUCAGGAAGCCACUUUAUUUACACUUACUAGUUUAUUAUAAAGGAUGCAAAUAAACAGCCAAAUGAAGAUGUAUGCAAGGCCAGGUCUGGGGGAGUCCUGAGUGUAGGAGCCUCUGUCUCUGGUGGAGUUGGGAUGCAACACCCUCCUAGCAUGUGGAUGUUUUUGCCAACUUGGAACUUCCCUAAACCCUGUUGUUUACGGACUUUCAUGGAGGCUUCAUUACAUAGCCAUUAUUGAUUAAGCCAUCGGGCAUUAGUGAUUAAAUCAUCUCCACCCCUUCUUUCUUCCCCGCAGGCUGGGGUGUGAGCUAAAAGUUCCAAACAUCUAAUCAAGGCUUGGUCUUUCUGGGGACAACACCCUGUUCUGAAGCUGCUUAGGAGCCCACUAAGAGUAGCUCAUUAGAAUAAAAGAUGCUUCUAUCGCCUUCAUCACUCAGGAAAUUCCAAGUGUUUUAGGAACCAGGGAGAAAGACCAAAUAUAGAUUUCCUAUUAUACCACACUGGUCUUUACGGCCUUUGAAGAUGAUGACUGGGGCCCAUACCAAUGACUAGGGGACCAGCCAAAGGCCAAUGACUGAGUUGGGACCAAUGCCUGUGUUUCCUCACUUCAGGACUUUUGACUUCUAACCGUGUCCCUGACUCAUUCUGCCACCGCUAAAGUACACAAAGGCAUAAAAGAUAAAAUGGGUUUUUUUUCUCCAGAAAAAAUAAAAUGUUUAAAGGAGAAGUUUAACAUAUAAGAGCCAAGAAAAUGUUGAUUAAAGGUUAGGAGUUUUUAUAUGUCAUAUACAUCAUGACUCUAUAAGUCAAAGAAGUGUGGAAAGUGAAGCUCAGAGACCCUAAGUGACUUCUCCAAGGCUAUUCAGUCAUGGAGGAGGAGCUGGGAUUUCACCCUGGGUCUGACCUCCACCUUCUUCCUCCUCCCUAUAGCACCAAAGAACAAAGGGAGAAUAUUUCAGCCAUCUUCUAGUAUCCAGUGGAUUGGCAGAAUUCUUUUAGGAAGGGAUAUAAUCAGGAAAUUUCCAUCUCCACAGAAAGUAUUACUAAAGAAAAUGCAUGGUAAUUAAAGCAUAAAGGAUUUCACUUAAUCCUAAGGAAGAGCUUUCCAGGGAUAAGGUUAAUUAAACGCUAACGAGAUUUUGUUUUAAAAAAAUCAAAAGCCUCGAAAAUUCUGCUUUCAGAUUUCUGUUUAUGAAACAUCACAGGAAAACAGCAAGAAGAAAGGUUGGGAAUGAUUUUGCAAGCUAGUCAAAACGCUUGCAAGCCCAAGGUUUUCAACUUUGACUAUAAGGCUGAACUGAGUAAAUAAAUUGUAAAGAUCAGUCAGAGCUUUCUGGGAGACUAUAGCAAAUGUUAAUGGCAUUAAAUUUUACGUAUUAAUUUCCAGGUUUGAAAUACAUACUAGCUUUUCUCAUGAUACCGUUCAUAUUUUUAAAAAUUAUCCACAAAGAAAGCAAAUGGACUCAGCUGCAGAUUUCUGCACUCACACAGUGCAUUUCUUUUAUAGGUGGAUGAUUUCAGACCCUCCACUAUCUAUCCCCCAUUGCGGGGCCACAGAAACUCUCCAUCCCCACCACGGCCCCUGCUUUGUACUUGUGCUUUCUUUUUGCUGCUGCAGACCCCUUACUGCCUGAUACCCCACAUUUAGUCCCAGUCCUUUGCUGCAUCAGGAGCAGUCUUGGGAUAAGAGCUUUAGAUGACUUCAUAUGCUGUAAGGAGGGAGCAAGGACAUAAAAAUGGAAGAGGGAAAUCUCAGAUUCCACAUAUUUCUGUACCCUCCCUUGCCCCCUCUCUCCAGACCUGGUCCAGGAUCCUCCAACCCCACAUCUGCUUCCCAACCUUUUUCUUACAGCCAGGCUUCCUGCUCUAAGUCUUUUAAUAAAAUGCCCCAAAGAAUGGUGCUUUUCUCUGGAUGUGGCUGAAUUGCAUUCUUAAACCUUGGUGUAUUCCAGAGACCAGCCCUUUCCAUAUGGAGGACCUAACUGAAAGAGGAGAGAAAGGUGGGGGAAGGAAAGACAGCACUUUCUUUAUUGAAAAGUGAGAUCAUGAAUUCCACCCUGGGAUAAAAGUAAUAAGAGGGCUGGGCAAGAGAUGAUCACAAACAGUGUUGAACCCUGGUAAUUUGUGUCAAAUGUCUUUAAAUGACCACAUUAUCUGAUUCAGUCAUUUCACUCCUGGGGAUUAAGUCUAAAUAAACAAUGGGAAGACAAAUAAGAUCUAAACAAAUAGUGAUAUACAAUGUUCAUAGAAGUCUCAAUAUGGUAAAGAUAUGAAAUCAUCCCCAUUUCAUAGAUGAAUAAACUGAGGCAUAGAGAGAUUACAUAAACUGUCUAAGGUGAUAUAGCAAGUAAGAGGUGAAACCAUGAUUCAGAACUAAGCAGUUUGGGCCCAGAGCCCAUGCUCUUAACCACCCUGCUGUCUUGCCCAUCCCCUGUGCUCCCGCUGUUCCACUGCAUUUUCCUCGCUGCGUGUCUAUUUCUUGCACUAGGAAGAGCAGGAACCACAUCUGGUUCACCUUGGAACCUCCAAGUCCCUGGUGUGUAGGGAAGAGUCAAAAUACAUUUACUGAACUCAACAGGAUGGUUUAUUGCCCGACCUCUCUCUCCCAUCAUAAGAACUUCCCGUUUUCAGUUCCUCCCAUUAUCCAAAUGGAUAUGGAGGUCUUGGGCCAGGAACAAAGCUCCGAACAGCUGGAUUUAGAGGAGAUCUCAAGGAAAAUUUCAUUCCUUGACAAAUGGAGGGAAAUCUUUAGUUAUCACAGGUUGGGAACCAAUAAUUCAACUCCUCAGGUAAUUACUUUUCCCAAAGCCAGUGUGUUCUCCUUUAGUUGCUUCUUCAAACAAUCACAUUAACAGCAUAAUCUGCAUUUAUUCUUUGCACAUAAUGUCACUCAGGCACUGGCAUUUAACGCGUGAAAACAUAAAACUAGAAAGCCUGUCGAAGAUUUUUUUCUUGUGCUUUUUUAUGGAUUUCUCUUUCUACUUCUAAGAGCUAUGUUUGUAUCAUUAAGAGCAUCAUAUGGUUAUUAUUUUAGGAAAAAAGGUAAUAUUAAAAUCGAAAGUUCCCACAUUUGUGAAAUAACACUGGAUUCUGACAACCAAGUGCUUCUGUGUCCCUGAAGAAAAGCAGUUUUGAAAAUAGUUAUCGUCUUUAUUCAGCUUGUGAAAAAUCAUUUUCCUUUACCAUUUUAAAAUAAGAGAAAGAUGACUGAAUUCUGGUGCUAAAAAGGUAUUUUAAAAUCUGAUAUACAAUAUAAGAUGAAAGAUGUUUGUACCUCAUGUAAACUGAAAAGGUUAGAAGGUAAUGGACUUUGUAUUUCAGGUAUUACUUCAAUCACUGAGCAAACACAGCAUAAAAUAUUAAGGUGGUUUUCAUGGUACUAGUAUAUAUGAUCAAGCAAUUGAAUCAUUAAUAUUUUAACUAUAAUGCUAAAGCUUCUCGCCCCAAGUAGCCUAUGAUCAAAAGUCUUAUUUAUGCUAAAACUCUCUUAACCACAGUCUAAAUUAGAAUCAGAGCAAUAAUGCUUCUAUUUUAGUCUUGGAAGUAUUAAAUGGAGAUAUCUAUCAUUUGGGGGGAUAGAACAUUCAAAAGAUAAAACAAUCUUUAAAAGAAAAAAAAGUCAAGUUAUGCUUUACACACGGUGGGAAAAACCCAUUGGCACAAAUGUAAAGAUUUUCCAUUUGAUUUACAAAAUGCAUCUUAGCUGAUCAGUAGUCCGUGAUUUGAAUGCUGUGCUUCUGAGAUAAGAAAGAAUCUUUGCCUCUAGGAAUACAGAAAAACUAAGAAGGUGGUUUCCCUCAUGUUUCAGCCACCAAUAGGACAGAUUUGUUGCACAACAUUAGUAUAUAAGCUAAGUAAAUUUGAAGAAGAGCUGAUGCUAACUUACAGUGACAUGUCAUGAGAAUCAGUCAAGAAAAGCGAAAAGAAAUUUUUUUAAAGGUAGACGGUGGAUUUUUUUUAAGGAAAAAGAACGAUUAUACUCACUUGUUGGGGAGUAGGAAUCUGAAAGAAUUAAAAAGAGAUAAUCUGACUUCAUUUAUUGGCCAGUUAACAAUGUAAUGAGAAACACUUUGUGUAAACUGGAAAGAUUCGUUCAAAGUUUAUAAAAUGUUGUCUUCUCAAAACAAGAGACAGUGACAUUUACAUUCUUCUCUAAACAUAAUUUCAAGUCAAGGUCUUGAUGGCAUUAAUUAUGUUUCCAUAGUUACAUUUAACCUCUCCAAGUCAUAUAAACCCUUAUGAGAAACCCCUUUGACACAGACACUGGGAUUUUUCUGCCUCUUUUAUUGCUAUUUAUCACAAUUUUCAGACGUCUUUAAAAGUGAGACAACAUUUUCUGAACACUGGUAUUUCAGAGAGAAAAAGAGAAAAUUUAAAACAAGGUCAUCACCAGCUCUGUUUGCUUUGUCUUUUGUGGGGGUGAUAUUUGCACAGAAUCAUGAAGGCAACCAUACAUCUGCUGAUGAAAAUGAAGAUGGAACAGGACUAUCUCAGCCCAAAGGACAAGGACAUUUGCCAUCAAGUGGCCUUUGUUCUAUUCCCAACCCCUCUAUCAUCUCUUCAAAAUUGGGUGGCUUUCCUAUCUCCCUAGCAAUGGCCACGGUAAGUAUAGCUUGUCAAUUAAACAUGAAAUGAAACGUAAUCUUCCCAAAACAACAAGGCUGGGGAAUCUUAUCUCCUGCCAUGUGAGAGUAUAUUGAAGAUAAGACUACAGAUGGUUGUUAUUGGUAAAAGGAGAAUAUAAUUAAAAUGACUUAUUUAUGGUAUUCUUCAAGGACACUUGUGGCAGUACAGCCCUUUCCUCCCAAACUCUGAGUCUCUCUUUAUUCACUUCUUCAAUUUGACAGUGAAAUUUGAGGGAGUGAGUUACAUUCAAAUAACUCACUAUAGAAGGUAGGAUAGGACAGACUCUCUAAGUGGCAGACUGUGGAGCGCUGCAAAUGCGUAAGACAAUGUAGAUGUGUAAGAAAGUACCCCACCUGUAUGCAUGCAGGAGGGAGAGAGCUGGGGAAACUUGUCAGGCCAUGUCCUGGGCAGGUAGCUAAUCUCAAGAAAGAAACAGUUUUCUGGGGCUACCAAUUAAUAUGCAGAUUUGAAAAGAACAUGACAUUUCAGGAUCCAAAUCACCAGGAUCUGUAAGCUAUUGGUCCCGGGGACCAUUUGCUCAAUUCAAGACUUCACCAGGGUGGGGGCAAGGGGCUGAGGCAGAGAUCCAGCCAGGAGGCAAAACUAAAGGCAUCUCAUUGGGUCAAAUAGGCCAAAGCUGGAGGUAGUGCCUUGGCAAAUGUCCAAAGGACCAGCUGUCAUGGUCAAAAAGAUGCCAUUGGAAACUUGGGAAGCAGAGGCAAGGGUCAAGCCAAGGUAAAAGUACCAGAGAGGCUGAGAUGCCCCUCCCAUUGGAUUGCCCUCCAGUGUAGCCCUUGAAAUCAUAAUGAAACUCGGGACUUCUCAAGACAAUUUCCCCAUCAUCACCCUAUCUUCUAAACCUCCACAUUACAUCCUAGAAGCUCAGGCAGGGACCUCUACUCAGGGCCUUAAGAAUGAGAGUUGGAAGAGGGACCUUCUUCCUGAGGACAUGCUGUCACACAUGGAUGUUUGUAGAAACAACCCAGGACCAGCCUAGGCAUCUGGGCAAAGACCAGCAACACUGGCCCUGCAGUCAGGCCUGCCAUGUACAUCGAGUUGCACAGUUUGUGCACUGCACACAAGAUCCCAGCUGAGAGGAUGAGUGGGGACUAAAACUUCUUCCGGGGAAACCACAUGAAGCCUAACACAGAGUUUCCGUCUGCUUUUUGAGAAUGAAGGCUGGUGACCCUGACUGCGGUAUUUCCAGCUUCGAUAUAACCUUUCCUUAAGCUCCCCGAGACAGGACACAAUCAGAUGCAGGGACCACACAGCCCCUGGAUUCGUUUUUAUCAUACAAAACCUCCCAGGCUUCACCAAAUAACUUUCUCCACCAUCACACUUGCAGUACAGAUGCACUGGGAGGCCUCACUUGCUCUUUCUCGUUGUCGAAAAUCUAUCUGCCUUGGCCGGGCAUGGUGGCUCACAUCUGGAAUCCCAGCACUUUGGGAGGCUGAGGCAGGGGGAUUGCUUCAG